rnacentral:rRNA from 1 species
GAGUGAACGCUGGCGGUAGGCCUAACACAUGCAAGUCGAACGGCAGCACAGUAAGAGCUUGCUCUUACGGGUGGCGAGUGGCGGACGGGUGAGGAAUACAUCGGAAUCUACUUUUUCGUGGGGGCUAACGUAGGGAAACUUACGCUAAUACCGCAUACGACCUACGGGUGAAAGCAGGGGAUCUUCGGACCUUGCGCGAUUGAAUGAGCCGAUGUCGGAUUAGCUAGUUGGCGGGGUAAAGGCCCACCAAGGCGACGAUCCGUAGCUGGUCUGAGAGGAUGAUCAGCCACACUGGAACUGAGACACGGUCCAGACUCCUACGGGAGGCAGCAGUGGGGAAUAUUGGACAAUGGGCGCAAGCCUGAUCCAGCCAUACCGCGUGGGUGAAGAAGGCCUUCGGGUUGUAAAGCCCUUUUGUUGGGAAAGAAAAGCAGCAGGUUAAUACCCCGCUGUUCUGACGGUACCCAAAGAAUAAGCACCGGCUAACUUCGUG